rnacentral:rRNA from 1 species
AUUGAACGCUGGCGGCAGGCCUAACACAUGCAAGUCGAACGAGUAGCGGAAGGGUGAGUAGUGGAGGGGAAACUGCCUGAUGGAGGGGGCUAACUACUGGAAAAGGUAGCUAAAACUGCUUACCACCCGAUCUGCCCAGGUGGGAUGAGCUAGCUGGUGGGGUAACGGCUCACCAAGGGGACGAUCCCUCGCUGGUCUGAGAGGAUGAGCAGCCACAUUGGAACUGAGACACGGUCCAGACUCCUACGGGAGGCAGCAGUGGGGAAUAUUGCACAAUGGGCGCAAGCCUGAUGCAGCCAGGCCGCGUGUAUGAAGAAGGCCUUCGGGUUGUAAAGUACUUUCAGCGGGGAGGCGUUACCCGCAGAAGAAGCACCGGCUAACUCCGUGCCAGCAGCCGCGGUAAUAC